UACGUAGGGGGCAAGCGUUGUCCGGAUUUAUUGGGCGUAAAGCGCUCGCAGGUGGUUCGUUGCGUCGUGCGUGAAAGACCCCGGCUCAACUGGGGAGUGCCGUGCGAUACGGGCGGACUGGAGGCCAGUAGGGGGAUGCGGAAUUCCGGGUGUAGUGGUGGAAUGCGUAGAGAUCCGGAGGAACACCAGUGGCGAAGGCGGCUCACUGGACUGGUAUUGACGCUGAGGUGCGAAAGCGUGGGGAGCAAACAGG
rnacentral:rRNA from 1 species